UACGGGGGGAGCAAGCGUUGUUCGGAUUUACUGGGCGUAAAGGGCGCGUAGGCGGCCAGCACAAGUCAGUUGUGAAAUCUCCGAGCUUAACUCGGAACGGUCAACUGAUACUGUGCGGCUAGAGUGCAGAAGGGGCAACUGGAAUUCUUGGUGUAGCGGUGAAAUGCGUAGAUAUCAAGAGGAACACCUGCGGCGAAGGCGGGUUGCUGGGCUGACACUGACGCUGAUGCGCGAAAGCUAGGGGAGCGAACGGG
rnacentral:rRNA from 1 species